UACGUAGGGAGCAAGCGUUGUCCAGAAUUACUGGGUGUAAAGGGAGCGUAGGCGGGAUAGUAAGUUGAUUGUUAAUACUAUCGGCUCAACUGAUAGAUGCGAUCAAAACUGCAAUUCUUGAGUGAAGUAGAGGCAGGCGGAAUUCCUAGUGUAGCGGUGAAAUGCGUAGAUAUUAGGAGGAACACCAGUGGCGAAGGCGGCCUGCUGGGCUUUAACUGACGCUGAGGCUCGAAAGUGUGGGUAGCAAACAGG
rnacentral:rRNA from 1 species